UACGAAGGGGGCUAGCGUUACUCGGAAUCACUGGGCGUAAAGGGUGCGUAGGCGGGUCUUUAAGUCAGGGGUGAAAUCCUGGAGCUCAACUCCAGAACUGCCUUGAUACUGAGGAUCUUGAGUCCGGGAGAGGUGAGUGGAACUCCGAGUGUAGAGGUGAAAAUUCGUAGAUAUUCGGAAGAACACCAGUGGCGGAAGGCGGCCUCACUGGCCCCCCGGUACUGACGCUGAGGGUGCGAAAAAAGCGUGGGGGGAGCAAACAGGGGAUAAGAUACCCCUGACGUCCCAGAGCAACAGUCCCUGCUACCCGUAA
rnacentral:rRNA from 1 species